rnacentral:lncRNA from 1 species
UUGGUGGCAGCAUUAUGCUGUGGGGAUGUUUUUCAGCAGCAGGGACUGGGAGACUAGGCAGGAUCGAGAGAAAGAUGAACUGAGCAAAGUACAGAGAGAUCCUUGAUGAAAACCUGCUCCAGGGGGCUCAGGACCUCAGACUGGGGUGGAGGUUCACCUUCCAACAGGAUAACGACCCUAAGCACACAGCCAAGACAACGCAGGAGUGGCUUUUGGACAAGUCUCUGAAUGCCUUUGAGUGGCCCAGCCAGAGCCUGGAUUUGAACCCGAUGGAACAUCUCUGGAAAGACCUGAAAAUAGCUGUGCAGCAACGCUCCCCAUCCAGCCUGACAGAGCUUGAGAGGAUCUGAAGAGAAGAACAGGAGAAACUCCACAAAUACUGGUGUGCCAAGCUUGGAAAGUCAUACCCAAGAAGACGCACGGUUUUAAUCGCUGCCAAAGGUGCUUCAACAAAGCACUGAGUAAAGGGUCUGAAAACGUAUGUAAAUGUGAUAUCUCAGUUUGAUAUUUUUCAUACAUUUGCAAACAUUUAAAAAAAAAACGGUGGUGUGGUGUGUAGAUUGAUGAGAAAAAAAAGUAUUUAAUCCAUUUUAGAAUAAGGCUGUGAAAUGUGGGAAAACUUUCUGAAUGCACUCUAUAUAUCUUCCUACCUGUCUUUCUGUAUUUCCCUCACAUCUGUCUUUCUCUAUUUCCCCUCUCUCUCCCUUCAUCAUCCCUCUCUUUAAAUGUCCUCCAGCCACAUACUGUAGCAGCAAGGUGAUGUAUAGCUUCCUCCUUUCCCCUCUUCCUCCCAUGUCUCCCUUCCCUCUGUCUAAAUGUUGCGUUUCAGUAGCUAGCUGGUGUACACUUCUCUCCUCCGCUCCCUCCUCCCUCUCCCUCCCCUUCUUAUCUCGUCCCUCCCCCUCUCUCUCUCCAUGGUCUAAACAUCAAGCUCAGUAGCUGUCUGGUGCUGGUGUGUUACACUGCAUGGCUAGAAGCUAUAAUGAAGCCGGGGGACUGAUGGAGAGAUAAUCGGAGAACCACUGAAGCAUAGCUCCGUAUACAGUGUGUGUGUGUGUGUGUGUCUGUGUGCGUGUGUGUCUGUGUGUAGCUCCAUAUACAGUGUGUGUGUGUGUGUGUGUGUCUGUGUGCGUGUGUGUCUGUGUGUAGCUCCAUAUACAGUGUGUGUGUGUGUGUGUGUGUCUGUGUGCGUGUGUGUCUGUGUGUAGCUCCAUAUACAGUGUGUCUGUGUGUGUGUGAGUGUCUGUGUGUCUGUCCAUACACAGCUAUCUGAACAAAAGCCAACAACAUUGUUAUUGGUCUCUAGAAGGCAGGAACAUCAGUCUAUGGGGCUCGCUGUGUUCAGUCAGGUCUUCAAAUGCUUUUAUUUCAUUUUAGUCUGUUGUAAGGGGAUGUAGGAGGCAAAGCGGGAGUUUGACUGGCUGUCUUUCGACCCUCUGUCUUUCUCUCUCACCAUAUCUCUCUCUUUCCACCUGAGCUCUCUCCACUUGCUUCCCUCCAGCCCUCUCUCUUUCUCUCUCCCUCUUUAUCUCCCUGCCUCCUCCCUUCCCUCCCUCCCUCUCUCUAUACACUAGAGGUCAUUAAAAGGGAGACCAGAGCAGAGUCCAAGCCCACACAACCACCUAGGGCCAUAGUUACUUCCUACUGGUUUUCUUCACUCUCACACACACACACACACAGUGACACACAGGCAAUUAAAGUAUCUUGUUGUUUUUACUACCUAGCAACCCCAGAGCCUCCACUGUUCCGCCCGUCGCCCCCCGGCGACAAGGGAGUGUUGGGUGAUCGAUCGCUUGGCAACCCAGACUACAGCGUGACAUCCCUGCGAGACACUGAACCCCCGUCACUUGCUCCGAGACGAAACACUUCAACACACACACACACACACACACACACACACACACACACACACACACACACACACACACACACACACACACACACACACACACACACACACACACACAGACCCUAUUUCACUGACCCACCUCGCUGUGAAACAAAACCCCCUAAAACCCAUUUGAUUUCAUCGAGACAUACUUGUUGUGUUGAUGUGUUAAAUCUGUUCCAGGGCUGUUAUUAACAGUUCUGUGGCAAUGCCACCUGGGGGACCAACUGAAGCAAUUCCCUCAGAUGGUGUUUCAAGUGAGUAAUUGUCAUGUUGAUUGUUAUUUAAAUGGGACACAGAGUCACAAAACAACAUUGUUUUGAAUGUUUUAAUUGUCCCAUGGCAUUGUAACAGAAAGAGAAUUAAACUAAUAUUGUUAAAAAAAAUGUCAUGUAUCUCUUCCCUCCUUUUUUAUAUUAAACUGUGUACGUAACGGAAGUAAAGCCGAGGCUUUAGCUCAGAACGCUAACACAGUCUUGUGACCAGGGUUGGAACCUGGUUGGUCACACAAAGACAGAGAUACAUCUAAGCGUGCCAAUGGCUCUAUCUAU